rnacentral:rRNA from 1 species
UCGGGAAUUUUGGGCAAUGGGCGAAAGCCUGAUGCAGCAACGCCGCGUGCGGGAAGAAGGCCCUCGGGUUGUAAACCGCUUUCAGAAGGAACGAAACUGACGGUACUUUCAGAAGAAGGUGCGGCCAACUACGUGCCAGCAGCCGCGGUGACACGUAGGCACCAAGCGUUGUCCGGAUUUAUUGGGCGUAAAGAGCUCGUAGGCGGUUCAGUAAGUCGGGUGUGAAAACUUUGGGCUUAACCCAAAGCGUGCAUCCGAUACUGCUGUGACUUGAGUACGGUAGGGGAGCGGGGAAUUCCUAGUGUAGCGGUGAAAUGCGCAGAUAUUAGGAGGAACACCGGUGGCGAAGGCGCCGCUCUGGGCCGAAACUGACGCUGAGGAGCGAAAGCAUGGGUAGCAAACAGGAUUAGAUACCCUCGUAGUCCCUGAGCGGGCUGGCAAGGCGCAU